ensembl:lncRNA
CUCUUUCCAUCGAAGCACAAUUCUUAUACAUAUCCCUGUCCCACCCCAACUCAGCAUCACAUAGCUCUCUCUGAAACACCUGGCUACUGGGGAGAUUUAAAUCACUUUAAUCUAUGUAGAGGGUAGAGAAAAUAUCUUUCGUCUUAGAGAAAGAGAUGCGAUACAAAAGAAGACAUCUUAGAAGAGAGGGAAAAUAAAAAUGAAAACAAAAAGUGCCAGCGAUAGCAUAGUUCUGAGACAAAUCCACCCCAGGUCUUUGAUGGGAAGGUGGAUUUUCCAACCAGUGACUUGCCAGUGUCCUGUGUCCCACCUGGUCUUCAUUACUUACACGUAAGUCUGUGCUGCCAGCCCCAGGCAGGAUGUCCCAGCCCUCAUAUUGCAGGCCAGAUGCUAACAAGGGAGUGAUCGAUCAACUGCGAUGCAGCCCACUCCACCCAGCACAGCCACAUUACCUGGAGAGGAGCAAUUAAGUCCCUUUGGUUUCCUUGGAAAUGUUCCAUCCGUCCGUCCCAACUGCCCUGACUCUUGAGAAAUGCCGUAAAUGGUAGAGAUGCUACUGGGAGACAAUGCCUUUAUCUUCCUAUGGAAAGUUUCCAGAAUACGAAGUCAGCCUACAAGAUGGAUUUGCAUUUGCCAAGCCUGCCUGGGCUGAUGGGAAGGAAAACCACUGAUCUGUCAGGAACGUAGAGAUGACUCAAAGACAGGGACGAAGAUGACCCAUCAGGCUGAGCCCUACAGCCAAGUUCUUGCAAACCCAGCUGAAAGUUGUUCUGACUAAGGCCUUUGUGCUUGGACCUCAAAGGUUCAUCUGGAAUCAGACAUGCCUGAACUUGGCUCAGAGCUCCCUCGUGGAAAAGAACACUGUAAACUUCAUUUGCUCUGUCAGCACAAGGUUUAUUAGGUGUAUUUACCUACAUUGAGACAGAAGAAGGUCCAGCUAGGGCUAAGGACACACACUGAGUAAGACUCUGAGCCCAUCAGAUGAGAAAGCAGAGGCUCUGCAGGCGAUGAGCUUUACCCAUAGUCAGGGAUCAGCAAGGGUGGCAGCACUAGGGGCAAGGAGCCAGAUACAAGGCUGCUAAACCUCUGCCUGGAGCCAUAGCCACUGGGUCACACAGCCAUUCAGCUGUGGAGCAAACAGGUGAUGGCUGCGGUGUGACAUUCUAAAGCAGCAGGAGCUCCCAGCGGGAGCCAUGAUCUAAGUGCCAACGUCUGAAUGUCUGAGCCUUUCAAGUCAUCUCAAGAACAGGCAGCCUUACAGGUACCAUCCAAGCCUGCUAUUCUCCAGCCAUCACUGCCAUCCUCACCUAUUAAAAU